AUAAUAUUCCAAAUUGGAAAAGCAGCAUACAUGUAUUAUAAGAAUGUUACUUAGAAAUAUGAAGGUAAAUAUUUUUCUUCUAAAACCACCUCAAGAGUUGAAAGUAUUAGCAUUUAGGGAGCGAAGGAGGGGCUAUUUAUUUAUUUAUUUUUUAGGGAGGUUGCAAUUUUUUAUUUAUUAUUUAUUUAUGGCUGUGCUGGGUCUUCGUUUCUGUGCGAGGGCUUUCUCUAGUUGUGGCAAGCGGGGGCCACUCUUCAUCGCGGUGCACGGGCCUCUCACUAUCGCGGCCUCGCUUGUUGCGGAGCACAGGCUCCAGACGCGCAGGCUCGGUAAUUGUGGCUCAUGGGCCUAGUUGCUCCGCGGCAUGUGGGAUCCUCCCAGACCAGGGUUCGAACCCGUGUCCCCUGCAUUGGCUAUUUUUUGUUAGAGGCUUUAUAGUACAUUGGACUGUCAAAUUAUGUAAAUGUAUUACUUUAAAAUUCCUUUUUAAUUCUUUUUUUUUUUUUUUUUUUUUUUGCAGUACGCAGGCCUCUCACUGUUGUGGCCCCUCCCGUUGCAGAGCACAGGCUCCGGACGCGCAGGGUCAGAGGCCAUGGCUCACGGGCCCAGCUGCUCCGUGGCAUGUGGGAUCUUCCCGGACCGGGGCACAAACCCGCGUCCCCUGCAUCGGCAGGCGGACUCUCAACCACUGCGCCACCAGGGAAGCCCUCUUUUUUCAUUCUUUUUAAGGAGAUAAAACUAAUUUCAGUCACUAGCAUAGAACCCUGGGUUCCCAGAGACCCUAAAGAGUACAGGACUGGCAAAUGUACACCAGUGGGGUGGAGGUCAAUCUUUGUUUUGAGGACUGGGCUAUAAGUUUGUCUUGAAUGAACAGAGACCUGGGUGCCAAGCCCAGGAGGCGGAAUGGGAGAGGGGACCGUUGUUCUCAGACACGGGCUCUUCCUGAGAAAGCAUGCAGGCUAUUCUGGGAGGUGUUGAGAUGUAAAUGAAAAUGGUUUGGGGGAGUCACACGGGAGCUGUUUGUAGUGAAGGCACCAGAAGGCUGGUGGUUCUCCCUUCCUCCCUGCAGACUGGGAGGCGUGGGGUUGAUGCCCAGUGAAAGUGAUCUGGCUCCCAUUUCCUUAGUGAGAACAGGCAGCAGAUGGGUGUCUGGUAACCCAAACCCUCUACUGAAGAGGCCCAAGUCAAUUGCUCCCCCUGGCCGGGGGCUGGGGCUGACUCAGGUUUCAGCCACAGGCCCCUGGGGGCUAAUGUCCAAAAGCGGGGCAGAAGAUUGAAUCUGAGGCCUGGUUUUGAGGGAGGCGGGGAGACACAGAGGAUAUCAGGAUGGGAGGAGAGCUAAUGAGGAGACUGUUGAUCCAUCUGUUCCCUAGUUCAAGGGUUCACGAACCUCAGUGAUACUCAGAAAGACUCAAAGAGGCAUUUUUGAAAGAUAGAUAUAUUUCCAGGCCUCACAUCACACCUGCUCAUCAGAACCUCCAGGGGUAAGGCCCAGGAUUUUGAUGCACACAUGCAUUCUUCUUACCACCCCUGGGAGCCCACGUGCAAGCUGGUUCCAGACCACUCCUGCCCAUGACUCCAAGGCAGUCCUCGCUCUAUUUGAGCUGUUUCUCUUCUUUCUCCUUUACUAGCUGUUCAGAUGCAAAAGAAACUCUCCGAAACCCAGGGGGGUGGGGGGGGGAAAUCUGCUUUUUGCAGGGGUUUGACAGCAUCUGACAGUUAUGAAUUUGUGCUAUAGGAGAAGCAGGUGCUUCCUGGGAGGCGCAGGAGCAAAGCUGUCCUUUAGACUGUCGCCAUUUUUAUUCCCAUCAUUCAUCUUCAGUGAGAACCUCUGAAAGGCAACUGAGAGGUUCAGAGGCAAAUAUUUCUUUCCCCUUUGACAGCCUCCAAGGUCUGAGUAGUGCUUGGCACCAAGAGGGGGAAACAAAGAUGGUACAGGAAUGGGCUAAAUUCAGUUCUGGAAGAUGUGAGCUCUGCGUUUGGAACCCGUGUCUUCUCCUCACCCAGAUCACACAGUCCUGGGAUAAUAUGAGGAGAGCACUGAGAGCAAAGAGCCCAAAAUGGGAAUGGUGGCUGGAUUUAUUGUUUUAUCUGAGCCACCAGAUGCUGUGUUCAGGCUCUUGAUGGUUUCCCCAUUGGAUUCUAGUGUUUGUGGUCACAAAGCCCUCCCCAUCAAGGCCAUCCUAAUCCAAAAUCUAAAAUAGAUUUUCUGUGAUGAAGAUAAAUGGUAAAUGUAGAAAUUCAGGGUCAGCUGAACCUUAUCUUUAUAAACUGCACCAAGUUAUAAACUUCUUGAGGGUAGAAACCACGUCUUUCUUGCUCACAACUGCAGCCUGAGGGACCAGCAUCACCUGGCAUAGAAAAGGUGCUUGAUAAAUGCCAAGUUCAGCAAUUGAGUGGAAGGUCUGCAGCCACGGGCCAGGGUGCCAGGUGGGCUUGGCAGAACCACAUGAAAGUCCUCUCCACCUGGAAAGGUCUUCCUCUGGUCUUUCUCUUCAUUCCAACCUCAGCUCCAUGACCCCUCCUCAGAAAUGGUCCCUGAACACCCUAUCUGAAGUUGGCCUUUCCAUUACAUCUCUACCCCUUGUCCCUAUUUAGUUCUCUAAUAACAAAUGUCACGAUCUCCAGCUCUCAGAUUUCCUAACUUGUUUAUUAUUCUUAUUUGAUUACCUGCUUCCUACACCAUAAUAUCAGCACGGCUGAACUCUCCACCCACAGCACCUGGAACAGGUUCUUGGCCCAGUAGGCAGGCACUCCAUGAAUUCAAGUCGAAUGAACAAAGCAGCAUUAGAUUAUGAGAACAAGAGAGACACUUUCCUCAGUUCUACGACACACGUUUUAUUGAUUCUGGACCUGCGCUGCAUCUUACAACCGAUGUUGGGGGCGUGGCCAAGGUUAGCAAACUGACAACCAGACACAGGUGUGCCUGUGGCUGCUAUUAUGUGGGCCGCUGCCUUUUCCUCAUUAGCCCAGGUCCCACUCUGCCUCUCACCUGGCCGGCGCACCUGAACCCACUGAGGAUGGAGCGAGACGGCAAAAUGGCUGCACCGCUGCGGCAGCCCUUCCUCUGUCCCUCGGGGUCUAGGAGUGGCUCACUCAGCGUCCAGACACUGAUCCCGUCAACUUGCUGAAGCUCAGGCCCAGGAUGCAAGUGGUCAUAAAAAGAGGUACUGUCUAGAGAGGAGCAACCCAAGUCCCUGCCUUCCAUAUACUUACACUUCUGGGGAGGAAGUGUAAUAAAUAAACAAGCCAAUAAAUAAACAAUAAACCUGUAAAUAUAUAAAGGAUGACAG